UUCCAUAUUACUCUCAAAAAUGGCGAGAUUGUACUGUAGAGGCAAAGUUUUGGGCUUUAGAAGGGGCCAAAGGCUUCAGAGAUAUCAUACGUCUCUUUUAAAACUUGAAGGUGUUCAGACUAGGGAACAUUGUAAUUUUUAUCUCGGAAAGAGGGUGGCUUACAUUUACAGAGUUGUUAAAAAAAAAAAUAAGCCGGAAAAACGGGUUAUUUGGGGUAGAAUAACCCGUCCUCACGGAAAUUCUGGUGUUGUUCGCGCUAAGUUUGCUUCUAACUUACCGCCCGUAAGUAUGGGUCGACCUGUUCGCGUGAUGUUAUUUCCUUCUCGUGUAUGAAGUUUUUUUAAACAUUUGUCCAAAAAAAUCAUAGCCAAG